UACAACUUUUGUUUAAAAUCCAAUUAUUUAGUUGACUUUAAAGUAAUACACUGGACUCAAAACUUUAUUUGUUUGUCCAGAUAAUAUGAUACAAAUUUUAACUCUAUGCACAGAUAUACCAAUUGCUCUUUCACAGUUCAGUUAAUCUUAUAUUACACUUCCUUCAUGGUAUGAAAAGAACAGCCCAAGGCUGAAUCUUGUCCAGUCAGCUAAGAGUUAACUUUUUGCUUUCAUUCACACUUUUACAAACAAUUGAACUUCACAGUCACUUGACACACACAUUCAGACACAGAUUCAAACAUUCUCACAAACACAGAAACUUUCACACUUUUUACAAACACAAGGCCUUUAUAAACACCUCCUUUCACUCUCCUUCUCUCAGCCACACACUCUCAAUCCUGUACUCAUUUACUCCCACUGUGGAAGAGAGAAACAGGUGCUUUUUCUUAACUUUAAUUUAGUUUCUUUAUUAAUAAUUGUGUUUCUUUAUCUGGAUCACACCAACUACAAUUUGGAUGAUGUCCAAAUAGUCAGCAAAGCCAACAUCUUUGAACGUUUUUAGUUCUUGGAAUGAUUUUUCUAACUUCUUUCACACUUAUUUUGUCAUUCGUUUUACAUUUAUCAAACACAGAGCCUAAUACACCUGUUUCUUUAUAUCACAGCACACUCAAAUGUAUACUCACACAUACAACACAAUACAGCACAGUCAGUAUAAGCGCAUAACCCAGCCAACAUAAACAUGGCACAGUUUAAGCCAGCAGCACAUAUAAACCAACCAUCAAAUUGUGGGCUCAUCAUCUCUCAGCCAGCUCAAGGGCCACUGUUCAAAAACAGGCUCCCUAUCUUCACAGGUGUCAAUACAGAAAGCGGUAUUCAUAGGAUUUUCCACACAACCCAUUUCUGGGUGAAUUUUCCACACAAACCACUUCUGGGUGAACAUUCUUGCAUGAUCUGUCAAUGCCAGACCUCUCAGCAGUGGUACUUUGAGAUGCAGUGCCAACCAUCAAAUUCUGGGCUCACUACCUCUCAGCCAGUUCAAGGGCCUCUGUCCAGUGCAGGCUCCCUCUCCUCACUGGGGCACCACUGAGAGCUGCAUCCACAGAAUUUUGCAUGCUUCAACUUAUUUACAAUACUUUUUUACAUUUGCAUGCACAGUGUUUGAAAUCUGGAACCCAAUUCUCUAUUUUAUCCACUUAAUAAUUUAAUUAAGUUCGAGACUGGAGAGGCUCUUUGAUUUAUCACUACCAGGUCUAACUUACAACAGACUACACAAAACACCUUUUAACCCUUUCGCAUGUAAAUUGUAAAUGAUUUAACUGACCCCCCCAGCGUGAAUUUUUUUCGGCGGUUAUUAUACAGCGUAUCAAAUUUUAAACUCCAGUAUGAUGCAUCAAGCUUGUCACGUGACACUGGGCAGCCACAUGAUGGUUCACAGCUGACUCGUCUCGCUUGGAGCUGGCGGACAGGGUGUAGGUAAGCAAUGCAAGUCGCAUUUCCCUUUUUUUCUUCACUUUAAAACCUUCCUAAUUGGUUCAAAACAUGUAUAAACUAUAAUAAAUGUUUUAACUAAUGGAUUAUAUUGACAUUUAUUUAUUUUAUUUUCUGUGGCUUUGAAUUUCGCUCCCACUUGCAACUUUUCCGUCAAAGCGUUUCAGGACUGCUACUGUUCUCAGUAAUGCUUCAGAGUGUGGUACUCAAAACAUGGGGCAACACACAAGGGAGUGUUGCAUGGCACACACAUGAAUUUGCUGAGGCGCCUCUGCUUUGUCCUGCGAGUGCUGGAUAGGCAGACCUUGCAGUGCCGCCUGGUCCUGCUGCCCUGGGAAGCUGUCUGAGGGACUUCGGAGGGGAAAUGCCUAGCUGUCAGACGCAAGACAGGAUGGCCUGCUUUGGAUGGACACCGAGGUGUGCUGUGCUCUUCCAGCAGUCCUCUCAUCAUGUUCAUCCUGAAUUGCAGGGAUGUGAUGACUUUUCCUAUUGAUAGCAGAGCACAUGGGUGGGAAGUGAGGAGGAGUGUGGAAUAUGACAGCAUGGUCAUUGUUGUUUUUUGUUAAUUUUCGUUUUUAAGUUGAAAUGUAUUCAUUUAGUUUACAUUAAAAAAUUAUUAAAAUGAUUAAACUAUUUAUUUGUUUAUUUAUAUGUAAAUUAUAUGUUGUCCUAAGUCUGAUGUUCAAAUUUCUCACCUGUAAGUUGGCGGUGGAUAAUGUGGCUGUUCAGUACUGCAGUGUCAAGGAGGUGAAAGAAGACUUUCUUGUACCAUUUGGUGGUUUUUCUGGUACAGUCAAAAAAGCCUUUCAUCAUGUCAGCCUUGUCCACUGCCCCCAUCUUUUUGUUAUAUUCAAGCACACAGAGAGGCUUCAUCUUUCUUUCUUUGAUGAUAUAAUCGACUUUUCCGGUGGCUGAAAUGGUGGAUGGAUGGACCGUGGUAAGAAGGUGAAUGUUGGCAUUCCCUUCCUGUUGGCUCAAACAGUCCCACAAGCUCCUGUGUCCAGAGACAGGAGGUUCUGGAACAGUGUGGAACUACUGUACCAGUUGUCCACGAACAGGAUGUGACCCUUUUUCAAGUAUGGGGCCAGUAAUGUCAUGACAACAGACCCAGAGAUUCCAAGGCCUUCAUAGUGCUGGAUGUCGGUAGUGGAUCCUGUGUAUAUGAUCAUGUCCUGCAUGUAACCGGGGGUCGCUGAUGUUUGCCAUCGCAUUGUUGGAGAAGUGUAUGCAGCAGAGGAGAAGAAGGAAACGGUCCUGGGAAAACAAAGUCCCGAAAGAUGGUGUCAGGAGCAUGGGGUCUGUACUCCAAUAAUCACGAAGUGAAUUUUUUUUUCACAAUUCCCAUUAGGAGCACUGCCACCAGGAAUGUGUACGUGAGCAUUUGUUGGAACCCACUUUACAAUCUUCCCUUUCGCUUCAGGUGGUGUUGUCUCCUGCAGCUCUGAGGCAUAGCGGUUUGUUUCCUUAACAAUCCUCAAUUAGUUCUUCAGUAAGGAACAUCUUAAAACAUUGGACUUCACUGGGUGAUUCUGGAGGGUUUUGCACACCACACGUCCAGUCAUCAAAAGUAACUCCAGGUACAGGAGGGGUAAAAUUACUGGUAGAACUCCAGCAGGAAGAGCUUACCUCCUCCACCUCCCUUGGUGUUGUGUGUGCAGGUGUAGGAGCAGUGGCUGAGGCUUAUUCAUCCUCAGCAUCAAGGGCUUGGAGGUUGGGGGGCAUCUCCUGAUCUGUGUCACUUCCCUCAUUGUCAAAAUCUCCCUCCUCAUCAGAAUUAAAAAAUAUUUCUCUGAUCUUCUCAUCCGUAAAUUGUUUUCUUUUUAAAGACAUAUUUUUUAGUGGCAAUUGUAUAAAUAAAACUGUAAAUAAAUCAAAUUAACUCAAGUUGUGUGUGUAAAAUAGAUGGCGAGCUCCGAUGCGAGUUUCAUGUGAAUAAAACAUCGCAUUUGAAAUGUGAUUGUUUUUCUCACUGUUGUCAUAGACAUGAGUGUGUAGAUAUGCACUAGAAAAUUGUAUUCUAAUACUUCUGUUUAUUUUAAUACAAUAAACAUAACAUGUGGUUGAAAAGACUGUUCGAGCAGCUGUUUUAGACGUAAAUGACAAGUGUUUCGCCAGUCACUUUCUAUAGCAAUGGCAGCUAUACAGCAAUGCGAAAGCAGAUUUGGUGAGUUUAUUAUCUACUUUUGCUGCUGUUAUACACAGUAUGUGGAUAUGGACAGUGAACUUAUAUGGUCAGUAUUGUGUUUGUUUGUUUGAAUGCAUGUAACAUAAAAUAAAAAUUUCCUGUGGUAGAAAAGACUGUUGGGGCGUGCUUCGCCAGUCUCUUUCUGUGUAGCAGCUAAACAGUACGACAGCUGAUAUGGUGAGUUUCAGUUAGUUUUGCAUGGUUAUACACUGUGUGGAUUGAGCAGUAAAUUUGUAGUCUUCUGUGUUAGUUUGAAUGCCUGUAACAUAAAAUAAACAUGUGGUUGAAAAGAUUGUUCAAGCAGCUUUUUUAGGCAUGUAAAUGGCAUUGCUUAGCCAAUCCCCCUCUGUAGCAGCAGAUAAACAGCAGGAAAGCAGAUUUG